UACGAAGGGUGCAAGCGUUACUCGAAAUUACUGGGCGUAAAGCGUGCGUAGGCGGUUUGUUAAGUCCGUUGUGAAAGCCCUGGGCUCAACCUGGGAAUUGCAGUGGAUACUGGCGAGCUAGAGUGCGGUAGAGGAUGGUGGAAUUCCCGGUGUAGCGGUGAAAUGCGUAGAGAUCGGGAGGAACACCCGUGGCGAAGGCGGCCAUCUGGACCAGCACUGACGCUGAGGCACGAAAGCGUGGGGAGCAAACAGG
rnacentral:rRNA from 1 species